rnacentral:rRNA from 1 species
AGUGGCGAACGGGUGAGUAACACGUGAGAAACCUGCCCCGAAGAUCGGGACAACCACUGGAAACGGUGGCUAAUACCGAAUACCUUCUCUUGGCCGCAUGGUCAGUUGAAGAAAUGCUCCGGCGCUUUGGGAGGGUCUCGCGGCCUAUCAGCUUGUUGGUGAGGUAAUGGCUCACCAAGGCAUCGACGGGUAGCUGGUCUGAGAGGACGAUCAGCCACACUGGGACUGAGACACGGCCCAGACUCCUACGGGAGGCAGCAGUAGGGAAUCUUGCGCAAUGGGCGAAAGCCUGACGCAGCGAUGCCGCGUGGGGGAUGAAGGCUCUCGGGUCGUAAACCCCUUUCAGCAGGGACGAAAAUGACGGUACCUGCAGAAGAAGCCCCGGCCAACUACGUGCCAGCAGCCGCGGUAACACGUAGGGGGCGAGCGU